GGUGAGCCCAGCCACUCACCUUCCAGGAAGCGUGGAUUCCUGGAAGUGAGGGGACCCGCCGUCAUUUCGCAGGCAGCAGCAGCAGCAGCAGCAGCACGAACAGAGUCCAUAACUCUUCUAAGAAGAGGAAGCAAAUCAAAGCCUGGAAUUCAAAGCUUUCUCCAGCAGAGUCAACAGACCAAUAAAGAAAGGGAGUCCCUCUGCCUGUGGCAUUGUCCACACUCACAGGGUCCCACUUUUAUUUGUUCCUACAGAGUAAAAUGAAGCUAGAAAUA